UUUUAUUAUAGCUUUCUUAGUGCAAAUACAAAUUCUCCUGCAUCGGGAUUGAUCCAGUUACCAAAUUCAUCUCGCAUACCUGUAAAUGAGGAGUUUCUCUUACUUACUCCUAGGACCACUAUUGAGGAGUUGAAGAAUGUUAAUAAGGUUUUUUAUUUUAUUUUAUUACAGGUCUAUUUUGGUAAAGUUUGUACACCUUUUGGUAUAAUGUUAUUUUGUAUGGUGAUGCGGCACCUCUUUUAUUGUCUUGGGAAUUUCAAUUUUCAAUUGAACAAAUCGUUUUUGUUGCAUGUAUUGACAAUUCAAAAAAAAAAAAUCAGUUUCCAUAUUUUCAAUUUACAAUUUACUUAUGUCUUAAACUUUACACAAAUUCUAAAGUAAAUACAAAAAUUAAGUUUCCCUAAGUGUGAAUAAUUAGCGAUAACCUAUUAUUUUAAAAAUAUUGUUUUUGUGUUUUAAACUUAUUUUUUGUUCACAAAUAUAAAACCAAACAUGAUUUGUUAAUGCUUUUUUUAUAUUCAAAAUUUAACAUAAAAAUUUAUUUUUUUUAAUGAAAUACAAAAUAUACAUAUAUUUAUGAGGUAAAUUUUAUUCAAAAAUGUGCUUAUUUUGAUAAAUUAAAAAAAUAAUGUCAAUGAAUAUUAUUUAUGAAACCAAUAAAAAUAAUAGAUGUAACUAAAAUUUUGAAUUUAGGUUUUUUUUAUUUAUAAUUGCGAUCAUAGAGAUCAUUGUGAUUAAGUAAAAAAUUAAUAUUUUUAUUAAGAGUGAAAAAUUAAAACAUAGGUAAUCAUAUCCAUUUGAUAUAUUGAAUGACUGACAAACCAAAGCUAAUACAAACUCUUACUAAUUAGUUAAUUUUUUAGAAAUAUAUUAAUUAUUUAUAGUGUUUUUACCUUUUGUGUUUAAUUGUACUUUUGUUGAUUAUUUUAUCACUCUCACAAAAAUAGUCAUCUAUAAAAUUUAACUUUUUGAUCUCAAUAAAUGAUUAUUUAUUUUUCAAUUUUAAAUACGAAGAUAAAAUACCACAUAACGCCAAAAUUAUGGAUGAAAAGAAACAAAAACAAUAAUAUUUAAAAAAUCUGUUAAAACUUAAAUCAUAUUAAAAAAAAAUUAAAUAAAAUGUAUCCCGUGCUUGGCACGGGACGUUACACUAGUAUAUUAACAAUGUAAAGCAUUGACACAAGACCUUCGAUUCAUCUAUCAAGCACAUACCACUAGACCAAGAAAGAAACUGUGAUAUUUUGACGAUUUAUAUUAUAUAUAUAAUUAUUUAAGUCAAGUAUUAGAAGAAGAAAAAUGGAAAAUAAUCUUAUGUGGCAACUGCCACACCGUGCCUUAUGGUGGGUCUUCCCCUACUUCUACAACAUGCGAACUAAGGUUGAAAUCCGACAAAAAGAAAUACUCAUUAAAUACUUAUAAAAGUUCUUUUCUAAAACAAUUCAUGUAGGUUGAGUCUAUUGUAAUGGAUAAUACUUUUUAAAAGUUCUUUUCUAAUUCUGACUUAGAAGAAAGUAUUAGAAGUUAUUCAACACAAUACGUGUAGGUCCUUUUCUAAAACUUAAACAUAAACAUGCAGGAAAUAAUUUAUUAAAAUAAAUUUAUGCUUAAAUAAUUUAUUAAUGGUCUUAGAGAAAAAAUAUGAGUUGGAUGCCCCAUAAGAUUAUUAAUAAUAAUUUUAUUCUUAAAUCAUUUAUUAAAAAAAUAAUCUCACAAAAUAUAAAAAAAUAAUUGUGUCAUCUUAAAUAUUCAUCAACUUUUUCUUCAAAGUUCAAACCCAUAAAAAUCAAGAAUCUUUACAUUCUUACCAAAAAAAAUCCUACAACAACCCUUUUCACAAUAAGUAGCUGCACAAUUUUAUUUUAUUUUUUUUGUCAAGUAGCCUAGUGGCUAGAGCUCACACAAUUAAAUUAUGGAGAAGUGGAGUGUCCGAUGUUCGAACCCCGGCUCCUGCAUAUAAUAUGCAAUAUCCCUACCAACUGAGCUAAGUUCACGGAGAUAGCUGCACAAUCCUUCUAAUAGAACUUUGCCAUGAAUGAGAACAACCCCUUUAGAUACCAACCAUUAUAUUUUCACAUCUGAACCAUAUAACAUAUUGAGGUUCUUGUUUGAGUGAUGCAAGUUAGUCGGUGUGAAUUUUGCGUUCGAUCACGAGACGAGUGUGAAUCUUAUGAUGUUUCUUCGAUGCUUUUGAUUUUUGCUCACGUACUUUUCUAAACAUUAUAAGAUUCACACCGUCUCGUGAUCGAAGGAAAAAUUCACACUUGUACUCUCUAAAUGAUGUACUACUCUCGAACCAAACAUUGGAUGAUAAAUUUUGCUAUUAAAAAAUGGAGAUUAAAAAAUUGAAUUCGGGUUGGUUAGGAUUAGGGAUUGAAUGAGUGAUGAUGAAUAAAGGUUUUUCUUUUGGGUUAAUAGUGUUUUUGACUCCUGUAAUAUAGUGCACUUUUGAUUUUAGCCCCUGUAAAAAAAAAAAUUUAGAUUCCACCCUUGAAAAAUGAAGAUUCUUCAGGAUUGGCCCCUCACCCCAAUGACUCAGCAGAAUCUCCUAUGUGGCGCUGAUAUGGAUAUUUCUUUUUAUUUUUCAUUGGCCACAUGUACAAUUCAUUUAACACAUCAUAAUUAAUUAAAAAAAUAAAAUAUAAUUAAUAAAAUCAGAGAAAUAAUUUUCAAAAUUUUUUAAAAAUCGAAAAAAAUAAUUUUCAAAAUAAAAAGUUCAGAUUUUUUUCUCUAAAAAAUAAAAAAAUCUGGAACAUAAUUUCAAAAUAAAAAAAAUAGAAAAUAUAUUUGAAAUUAAAAAAGUUCAGAUUUAUUUUCAAUAUAAAAAUUAUGGAAUAAAAAGUCUAAACAACCUUUUUCAGAAUGAUUUUUUUUUCCAGAAUUUUUUUUUUUAAUAUUUUUUUCAGAAAAUAUAUAUUAUUUUCCAGAAUAUUAAAAAUUUUGAAAAAAAACUGAAAUUAAGAUUUUGAUUUCAAUUCUGGAAAAAUAUUUCAAGAUAAUUAUGACAAAUUACAAAAAAUGAAUUAAUUAGGAAAAAAAUAAUUCUUUUAGUUUAGAAGAAAAUUGUUAAAAAAUCUCAAAUUUAAUAUAUUUCGAAAAAUUAUAAAAUAAUUAUGAAAAAGAUUCUAAAAUAUCCAAAUAUAAAAAAACUUUAAAAAAGAAUCUGAAUGUUUUUUAAUUUUUGAAAAAACAAAGUUUCUAAAAAUUAAUAUAUUUAGAAAAAAAAAUCAAAUUUCAAGAUUUGUUUCAAUUCCGGUAAAAUUAAAAAAUUCUGGAAAAUUAAUAUAAUGUUUUUUGAAUCAUUAUUAAAUUCUGGAAAAUUUUCAUUUGUGGGUUGCUAAAAAAAAAAAGAUGUGCAAUAUUGCACAUGUUAGACAACCCUAAUUGUAUUAAAAAAAUUAUUAAAUUUUCCAUUUUUUUUUAAAUUUUCAGUAUUUUAAUUUAUUUUUUAAGUUUUUUUCGUUUUUAAUUUUUAUUUAGAAAUACUGAAAAUUUUUAUUUAUAAUUUUCCAGAUUUUUUUAAUCAUUAUUAAUUUUUCCAUUUUUUUUUAAAUUUGUUUCAGUAUUUUGAGAAAAAAAAAUCUGAACUUUUUAUUUUGAAAAUUAUUUUUUCGAUUUUUUAAAAAUUCAAAAAUUAUUUCUCAGAUUUUUUUAAUUAUUUUUUUUUGUUGGAUUUUUUUAAUUAAAUAUGAUGUGUUAAAUCUCAAAUUUAAUAUAUUUCGAAAAAUUAUAAAAUAAUUAUGAAAAAUAUUCUAAAAUAUCCAAAUAUAAAAAAACUUUCUAAAAGAAUCUGAAUGUUUUUUAAUUUUUGAAAAAAUAAAGUUUCUAAAAAUUAAUAUAUUUAGAAAAAAAAUCAAAUUUCAAGAUUUUUUUCAAUUCCGGUAAAAUUCAAAAAAUUCUGGAAAAUUAAUAUAAUGUUUUUUAAAUCAUUAUUAAUUUUUCCAUUUUUUUUUAAAAUUUUGAGUAUUUUAAUUUAUUUUUUAAGUUUUUUUCGUUUUUUAAUUUUUAUUUAGAAAUACAGAAAAUUUUUAUUUAUAAUUUUUCCAGAUUUUUUAAAUUAUUUUUUCAGUAUUUUGAGAAAAAAAUCUGAACUUUUUAUUUUGAAAAUUAUUUUUCAAAAAUUUCAAAAAUUAUUUCUCAGAUUUUUUUAAUUAUAUUUUAUUUUUUGGGUUUUUUUAUUUUUUUAAUUAAAUAUGAUGUGUUAAAUGAAUUGUACAUGUGGCCAAUGAAAAAUAAAAAGAAAUAUCCACAUCAGCGCCACGUAGGAGAUUCUGCUGAGUCAUUGGGGUGAGGGGCCAGUCCUGAAGAAUCUUCAUUUUUCAAGGGUGGAAUCUAAUUUUUUUUUUUACAGGGGCUAAAACCAAAAGUGCACUAUAUUACAGGGGCCAAAAACACUAUUAACCCUUUUCUUUUUGUGCGAGCAUACACUCUGCAUAUUGGAUUUGCUUUCGGAAGCUUGAAUUUUGGAAAUAUAACAAAUUUCCACUUGAUUUAUUAUUUUUCAUUUUUUUUUAACAUUAAAGGCAAUUUCAUUAACUAAAAUCAGACAAUAAAUCAAAUGCUAAGACCGCAAAAAUAGAAGGUUUUUUCAUUUGACUUCACCCACACGAAUAGGGAAUUGUCAAAAUUGUAUAGGGGAACAAUUGAAGAAAGAUUUCCGGAACUAAAAUUCAUCGUAUUCCUCCAAAUUUUAAACCGCAACACUUUAACAUAAUUUUUUAAAAAUUAAUCCUUAUGAAGUUGUAUAAAAUAAAAUAAAAGAUAAUUAACAAACAAAAUUUAUCCCUUAUAAAAAAAUAAAUCAUAUUUCAAGUCGCAACAGUAAAUUGGAACAAUACAUGAUCACAAAUCUAAAAAAUAAAAAUCGAUGAAAGAAGAAAAUAAAAUGUAAUAGAUUUAUUUAUUGUAAAUGGUAAUUAGGUUAAAUUGGAUUUUGAUUUUCACUGAAACUAACAAUUUUGAAACAAGAAGAUGCUUAUCUAUAGAGUUAAUCCCAAUGAAUUCAAUAAAUUGUGUUGGAUUAAAUUCCAAAAUUUAAUAAACAAGAUGACUAAUAUUAAACUCAAAGUUUGCCUGAUAUGUUAACAUUGUAACAAGAAAGCACAAAACAUAAGGGUUGGAUAAAUCCCAAUCACAAGAUAUGUGAUUGCUUUGCAAAAAUGGAAGCACAAGCCACGACUAAAUUGCGACAACGGUUGUUUUUCCAAUCCAAGGACGUGACACAAUUUGCGGCGGUCAUCGUCGGCGAUUUGAAUUUUGUUGAUGCUCCAACUUUUGCUUUUGGAUGGUGUUACGAGUGGCGGCCUUUUGAUCUCUCGAAGAUGAUAAACCUCAAUCCUUAGUGAGGGUAUCAUGCAAUGUUAAGUGGAAAAUAUUAUUUGGGGUGAAGUCAAAAGAUAAAAGGGGUAAAAUCAGAAAUUUAAAUGAUUUGUUGGAUGAAGGUAUAAAUACUGGGGUAUAAUUUUUUACAAGGAGGAGUUACUUCGACCCAUAUGAAAUCUAAAUUCUUUAAGAACAUACAAAAACUACCCUUAAAAUUAAUACAAUCUCGAAUAAUAAGGUCAACAUAGUUGGGAGAUUGUUAGUGAGCAUUCAACGCUAAAACCACAUUAGAAACAUCUGAUUCUGCUAUAAGAUUCAGAAAAGACAUGUCUUUUGCAAAUUUCAAACCCUUUCCCAUAGCUAAAACUUCUGCAACCUCUUAAUUUGGUAAUGAAAAGCCAUGUCAGGAACUAGCACCAACGACAACACCUUCAUUAUCUCUCACCACAACACCACUACCCCACUUAUCACCCUCUAUCAGACUUGCUGCAUCAGCAUUAAGCUUAUAGAAACCACUAAAAGGAGGUAUCUAAUGAACAUCAAAUAUUGGCAAAAUUGGACCUCCACUCAGUGUCUCCACCAACACCGUACUAACACUCUUAAAAUUAUUCAUAAUAGAUCUCUGUGUCUUUUGAACAGUGGCAGCCACAUCAACAUCAGUCCCCUCAAAACAUUUCUUAUUUCUAGCACACCAUAUCUUAUAACACAAGGCCAAAAUAUGGACUAUAAUAUCUUCAUCGACAACAAUAAUAUCUUCCACCAACCACUUAUGAAAAUGAACGUAUCUGAAUCAUGCGAAUUAAAUACCACACCUAAAGAAGAAGCAAACCAUACCUACUUUGACCAAUGACAUUCCAUAAAGAGGUGUGAAAUUGUCUCAUUAUGUUCCCACAAAGAACACAUAAUGGAUCACUACUUAUUCCUUUUCAAACAGAUCAUUUUUUACUGGUUGUUUUUCAUGUAGAAUCCUCCAAGAAAUUGGACGUGUCUUUGGAUACUUUUUAUUUUUCAUAAUUUUUUUCACACUUGGUGAUUAUUGUUCUGCAUUGAGCUAUGUGAGCCAUCUGCUUCACGCCUUGCCUUUAAGAAAUGGUAUGAACUCUUCACAUAACUUACCAAUCAUACUUUCAAUUGUUGGAACAAAAUGUGUUUCACAAUAAACCUUAUUAAGUUUUGAUGAUAACAAGGUAUUAAAAAUUGUCAAUUGGUUAUUACUAAUGAUUGUUCAAGUAUACAGGACCAAAAGCUUGUCAAGCAAUUUCAAUAGGUCUUGGAAGAACAAUAAAAAGCAAAAGAAUUCCAAGCAUCUGAAGAAAACUGCUCCUGAAGCUGAAGUGCUUCUGAAGAGAUGACGUCAUCAGAAGCAGAAGAUCAUCAGAAGCAAGGUUUUCAUCAGAAGCAAUAUCUUCACCAGAAGCUACAUUUGAUCCCUCAAUCAAACUGAAGAUUCAAAGUAGCUGUCUCUCAAUUCAGUCUUAUCCAAGAAGAACGAAGAAUUGAAAGNCUAGAAUCACAUUCAAUCCUGAAAUUGGUGAAACAAAGGAACUAAGGAAAAGGUAUAUAUAUAUUUUUUAAUAUAACAUUUUUUUUCCUUAAGUUAUAAUAUUAUUGAUUGAUACUUUUUAUUAUAGCUUUCUUAGUGCAAAUACAAAUUCUCCUGCAUCGGGAUUGAUCCAGUUACCAAAUUCAUCUCGCAUACCUAUAAAUGAGGAGUUUCUCUUACUUACUCCUAGGACCACUAUUGAGGAGUUGAAGAAUGUUAAUAAGGUUUUUUUUUUAUUUUUUAUUACAGGUCUAUUUUUGUAAAGUUUGUACACCUUUUGGUAUAAUGUUAUUUUGUAUGGUGAUGCAGGGCACCUCUUUUAUUGUCUUUGGAAUUUCAAUUUUCAAUUGAACAAAUCGUUUUUGUUGCAUGUAUUGACACUUCAAUAAAAAAAAAACCAGUUUCC
rnacentral:lncRNA from 1 species